UCAUUUUUGUACAAGUGAAAUUCGUAUAAAAAGCCCAAAAUGGGAAAGAGACAAAACGGCCCAUAUCAUAACCGGGCAAAUACGAAAAAUGGUCUCUCAAAUCAAAUCUCUCUACAGUCAGAUCUGACUCCCAAUUCCAAGCGAUUAAGCGAGAGAGCGAGCUAGAGAGUCCGAGAGGGUAGAGAAUCCCUAGGUUCCGUCGCUCGCGUCUCUGAGUAGACGACAUUCGAGAAUGGAGCCCCAUGGCAAAAUACGAACUCUCAAUCAUUUUCAUUACCUUGUCCGGAACCGGAUCCGGAUCCGAACAAGGCAAUGAUUUAGGGUUUCGGAUGGUGCAAAGAGAAUGGUGAGAUCGUUGGUCUCUGCGUCAACGAUGAAGAUGACAACAAUCCAGAACGUAGCCAUGUCGCGCGGAUCAGGAUCUGUCUCAGAUUACGGUCAUGCAUUUAACUGAUCUCACUCAGCCUCAUUGACAUUCGAGUUUGGUUAUGGGAUGUUACAUUUUACAGAUGGGUUUCCUUCAAACAGUGUAGCAGUUGCUUAACCUUGUAUCACAGGCGGUGGGAAAAUGAAGGCAAAGGAUGAAAGUCAAAUGGGAAAGAGGAUUGGAGUUGAAGCACGGCUGGCAUGGUUUUUCCAAGUGUUUUCAGUCUCUUUUUUGUUUAGUUUGUUUUAGUUCUAUGAUUAAGUGUUUCGAUUUGUUUUUUUAUUUUUAUUUUUUUCAAUUUGCAGUCGAUAUUUUAAUUUCUUUUAAAAUGGAAACGUCAUUACAUGUUAGGAGUUAAAACACUGGAUGACUGAAUGGUCGGCCCCAUAAUUCCCAGUAGGUCCGAUUCCGUGUUUCAGUAUCAUCAAAUUUUCUCUAGUAUUGUUGAUGGCAUUCACCGUUACAAA